UGACCGAUAGCGUAACGGUAGCAUCUCAGAUUCUGAUUCUGCUAGUCUUGGUUCGAACCCAGGUCGGGUAA
rnacentral:tRNA from 1 species